GGCUACUCAUGACGAGGCAAUGGCCGAUUUGCGGAAUGCAAAUGCCGUACUUGAGAGACAGCUGCAAGAAUUAAUGAGAGAGAUGCAAGACUUAAAGG